UACAGAGGUCUCAAGCGUUGUUCGGAUUCAUUGGGCGUAAAGGGUGCGUAGGUGGCGCCGUAAGUCGGGUGUGAAAUUUCGGAGCUUAACUCCGAAACUGCAUUCGAUACUGCGGUGCUUGAGGACUGGAGAGGAGACUGGAAUUCAUGGUGUAGCAGUGAAAUGCGUAGAGAUCAUGAGGAAGACCAGUGGCGAAGGCGGGUCUCUGGACAGUGCCUGACACUGAGGCACGAAGGCCUGGGGAGCAAACGGG
rnacentral:rRNA from 1 species